GAUUUUUUAAAAUAGUGAAAUCUGUUGUUGUUCAUUCCAGUAUUUUUCUGCCUGGAAUUUUCUUUUCAUUUAGAGAAGGAGAGAUGACCCAGAAAGAAAUAUAAUUCAAACACAAGAAAUCUCUGAUCUCCACCUGAGGCAAAUUAGACCCUCUCGACCCUUUCUCUUCAUACCAAACAAUGAAAACAUGAACAACAAAUAAGCCAAUGGGUAUGAGUCUCCUUCAUCAGGCAAAACACAUCCUAAGCAUGACUCCCGGAUCCAAACAGACUUACUGAGAGCCAGACUGCAGCGUGAGGAAGGCACUGGAAGACAAGGGAGGUUGGGGGCUCCUUAGAUCACUCUGUCAUAUGGGACCAGCAGCCGAACCAGAGUCAAGGUGGUCACAGUU